rnacentral:rRNA from 1 species
GAUGAACGCUGGCGGCGUGCCUAAUACAUGCAAGUCGAGCGAACAGACGAGGAGCUUGCUCCUCUGACGUUAGCGGCGGACGGGUGAGUAACACGUGGAUAACCUACCUAUAAGACUGGGAUAACUUCGGGAAACCGGAGCUAAUACCGGAUAAUAUAUUGAACCGCAUGGUUCAAUAGUGAAAGACGGUUUUGCUGUCACUUAUAGAUGGAUCCGCGCCGCAUUAGCUAGUUGGUAAGGUAACGGCUUACCAAGGCGACGAUGCGUAGCCGACCUGAGAGAGUGAUCGGCCACACUGGAACUGAGACAGGGUCCAGACUCCUACGGGAGGCAGCAGUAGGGAAUCUUCCGCAAUGGGCGAAAGCCUGACGGAGCAACGCCGCGUGAGUGAUGAAGGUCUUCGGAUCGUAAAACUCUGUUAUGAGGGAAGAACAAAUGUGUCAGUAACUAUGCACGUCUUGACGGUACCUAAUCAGAAAGCAACGGCUAACUACGUG